CAGUGUUACAGCUCUUUUAGAAUUUGUACAGCAGGUUUUCUGGUUUCUACCAGAAAAACCCCC
rnacentral:snRNA from 1 species